rnacentral:rRNA from 1 species
AACGAACGCUGGCGGCAUGCCUAACACAUGCAAGUCGAACGAGACCUUCGGGUCUAGUGGCGCACGGGUGCGUAACGCGUGGGAACCUGCCCUUAGGUUCGGACUAACUCCCCGAAAGGGGUGCUAAUACCGGAUAAUGUCUUCGGCCCAAAGAUUUAUCGCGCUUGGAUGUGCCCGCGUUGAAUUAGCUCGUUGGUAUGGUAAGAGCCUACGAAGGCGACGAUCAAUAACUGGUCUGUGAGGCUGAUCAGCCACUCUGGGAGUGAGACACGGCCCAGACUCCUACGGGAGGCAGCAGUGGGGAAUAUUGGACAAUGGGCUAAAGCAUGAUCCAGCAAUGCCGGGUGAGUGAUGAAGGCCUUAGGGUUGUAAAGCGCUUGUACCCGGGAUGAUAAUGACAGUACCGGGAGAAUAAGCUCCGGCUAACUCCGUG